rnacentral:rRNA from 1 species
CCUACGGGAGGCAGCAGUGGGGAAUUUUCCGCAAUGGGCGAAAGCCUGACGGAGCAAUACCGCGUGAGGGAGGAAGGCUCUUGGGUCGUAAACCUCUUUUCUCAGGGAAGAAGAAAGUGACGGUACCUGAGGAAUAAGCAUCGGCUAACUCCGUGCCAGCAGCCGCGGUAAUACGGAGGAUGCAAGCGUUAUCCGGAAUGAUUGGGCGUAAAGGGUCCGCAGGUGGCUGUGUAAGUCUGCUGUUAAAGAGUCAUGCUUAACAUGAUAAGAGCAGUGGAAACUACAUAGCUAGAGUACGUUCGGGGCAGAGGGAAUUCCUGGUGUAGCGGUGAAAUGCGUAGAUAUCAGGAAGAACACCGGUGGCGAAAGCGCUCUGCUAGGCCGUAACUGACACUGAGGGACGAAAGCUAGGGGAGCGAAUGGGAUUAGAUACCCCAGUAGUCCUAGCCGUAAACGAUGGAUACUAGGCGUGGCUUGUAUCGACCCGAGCCGUGCCGUAGCUACGCGUUAAGUACUCCCGCGUGGGAGUACGCGACGCAGUAGUAGAACUACAANAGAGUAGACGCGUGAGACGUCGCCGACGACGACGACGAGGGAGAGG